rnacentral:rRNA from 1 species
UUAUUGUAAUUAAAAUUAAUUAAUUAAAAAUUAAAUGGAAUCAUUAAAUUUAAAGAAUUUGGCGGUAUUUUAAAUAGUUAGAGGAAUUUGUUAAUUAAAUGAUAAUCCACGAUUGGAGGGUCCUAAAAUGAGUUUUAUGUAUUGUUGUUUAAAAAUUAUUUUAGAAAAAUAAUAAUUAAAGUAUUUGAUUUAAUUUGAAUUCAAAUCAAAAUGUAGAGUUUUUAGGUAAAUAUGAAUUACAGUUUAAUUUAAUAUUGGAGGUAGUGUUUUAAUUAUAGUAUUGAAACUGGAUUUAAAAGUAAAUUUAAAUAAAUUUUUAAGUUGAAAAAUUAAUUAAAAUAUG